rnacentral:piRNA from 1 species
AUCCGAAGUAAUCACAUCUAAAAGCCUA